AAGAUCAGGAAACUUUCCAGGAAGCUUCUUCUAAACACCUACAACAAGAAGAGAAAGAAAGAAGGACAGACUAUGAGAGAGAGAAAGAAAUAGGGAACAGAAAAAAAAGGAGAGAGAAAAGAAAGAGAGAAAGAAAGAAAAAAGUGAUGAAAAGAGAAAGAGAGGGAGAGACAAAAAAAGAAAAAAGGAAAGAAGAAAAGCAAAGAAGGAAAGAAAGAUGCAAAGAAGGAAAAAAAGAAGGAAAGAAGGAGAGAGAAAAAAAAAAUAUUUUUUCUUCAGGGCUCGUGUUGUUUGCAGACUGCUGGCAAUAAGCAAAGUCUCUCCCUUUGGUUUGUGAGUUAAGAGGCGUCUGGGAAGAGGAGGAGGCGACGGGGACAAGAGCAGCACACACAGUGCCCGGGAGGAUGAGGACCCUUCAAGGGGGCGUGUGGGACUGAUAUGCAGGCAUCUGCGAGCUGUAAUCCCAGCUCUGUCACUUUUUGCCUCUGUGGUCCUGGGUAAGUUAAUUUACACCUUAUUUCUUCACAUUUUAAGUGGGGUAACAGUCUCCACGCUUGCACAGCUGCUCUGAGGGCAAAUCCAGGCCAGCGAGCACUCCCACGCGGAGGCCACGUGUAAGACGUUGGGUAGCGCCAGCCUCCCCCAAGCACAAACAAGGGGCGAAGGAGGCAUGACUGCCCAGGGCCCUCUGUAAGUUCACACCACCCUGCACCCAAAAGCCUCCCUCCCCACAGACAGGAAAGCCAGGUGGGCCCUGGCCACAGGCCACCCUCACCCCACAGCUUUUAGAGCCAUGCUUCCCCCGUGAGCGUGCUGCUUGUGCUAUAACAUCACCUUACCAAAAAAACGCUGUUUAACCCUUGGCUGCCAGGCAGGGGCUGGAAGACUUGCAACUCAUUUAAGUACUCUUGCGAGAUGUAAGUCAAGUUUGCGAGUUGUGUUUGCUCAGUGGCGAACGUCACUGCCUGUUGUAGUACUUCCAUUAUCAGACUAAGCCCUGGCCCCUUGAAAGUGGCAACGAAAAUAGCACGCGGGCCCAACCUCAUGCUUCAGCUAAAGGCGGGGGCUUAGCUGUAACACACAGCGGUACAUAGCGGUAACGGCAUUGCACAGCACAUAACUGCUUAUGGGGGGUGGCUACAGUCCCCCUAUCCCUGUAAAUCUGCCUCUGGUUACCCAGAUUUUAACACAUCACAUCAUAUUUUUACUCACUAGAAAGGAGGACAGAAAUCUCCCAGUUAGAGACGAAUACUGAAGACAGUUGUUAUAAGCUGUUCUUCAAAGAAAGCAAACCAGAGCAGAAAGGUCAGC
rnacentral:lncRNA from 1 species